rnacentral:rRNA from 1 species
CCUACGGGAGGCAGCAGUAGGGAAUAUUGCUCAAUGGGGGAAACCCUGAAGCAGCAACGCCGCGUGGAGGAUGAAGGUUUUCUGAUUGUAAACUCCUUUUGUUAGAGAAGAUAAUGACGGUAUCUAACGAAUAAGCACCGGCUAACUCCGUUCCAGCCGCCGCGGUAAUACGGAGGGUGCAAGCGUUACUCGGAAUCACUGGGCGUAAGGAGCGCGUAGGCGGGAUAGCAAGUCAGAUGUGAAAUCCUAUGGCUUAACCAUAGAACUGCAUUUGAAACUGUUAUUCUAGAGUAUGGGAGAGGUAGGUGGAAUGCUUGGUGUAGGGGUAAAAUCCGUAGAGAGCAAGAGGAAGACUCAUUGCGAAGGCGACCUGCUAGAACAUAACUGACGCUGAUGCGCGAAAGCGUGGGGAGCAAACAGGAUUAGAUACCCGAGUAGUC